rfam:Triticum aestivum genome assembly, contig: Triticum_aestivum_CS42_TGACv1_scaffold_603787_7DL
CAAUUACUCCCUCCGUCCGAAAAAACAUGUCAUCAAAAUGGACAAAAAGAGGUGUAUCUAGAACUAAAAUACAUCUAGAUACAUCCCCUUUUAUUCAUUUUGAUGACAAGUAUUUCCGGACGGAGGAGUAUUAA